AAUCAGCCGUACUCCGAAUGCUUAGAUUAAGUUGAUCAUGGCUCAGACCGAACGCNUAGCGGCAUGCCUUACACAUGCAAGUCGAACGGUAACAGGUCUUCGGACGCUGACGAGUGGCGAACGGGUGAGUAAUACAUCGGAACGUGCCCAGUCGUGGGGGAUAACUACUCGAAAGAGUAGCUAAUACCUGCAUACUGAUCUUGAGUGAUGAAAUGCGGGGUGACCUUCUGUGUGGCCUCGCGCGAAUUUUGGGGAGCCGUGGGGGNCCUCCUCAUGAGAAAAAUUAUGUGUAGGGCCCACAAAGCGGGAGAAAGUUUUAUUAAAGAUGGGAGGNGAGUUUUUUAACUGNGGGGUGUUUAUUUAUAAGGAGACGGGGUUUGUAGAGUAGGUANAGGGGCGGCAAACUAGUUUUAUUAAANNNAACAUGAGAAGACAACGACUCAANAUGUUGGNGCGUGGCGCACCACUACUUUUUAUUUUUUUAAAGACCCCGCCCCACGCACCCCCGUACGAAAAAGUGAUAAAAGCGUGGGGAGGUACNCCCCUACACCACACAUCGUGUGAGGUGGUGAAAAAUAUAGCANACCGNUGGGNGUAACACACACACAGACAUGUUNUCCCCCCUCCCGUANCUUUUUUUUGCGGGANGGGAGUUGUUUUUAAAAAUGCGGUGGGCGAGAAGAUGGCGCCCCCCG
rnacentral:rRNA from 1 species